CCUACGGGGGGCUGCAGUAGGGAAUCUUGCGCAAUGGGCGAAAGCCUGACGCAGCCAUGCCGCGUGAAUGAUGAAGGUCUUAGGAUUGUAAAAUUCUUUCACCGGGGACGAUAAUGACGGUACCCGGAGAAGAAGCCCCGGCUAACUUCGUGCCAGCAGCCGCGGUAAUACGAAGGGGGCUAGCGUUGCUCGGAAUUACUGGGCGUAAAGGGAGCGUAGGCGGAUAGUUUAGUCAGAGGUGAAAGCCCAGGGCUCAACCUUGGAACUGCCUUUGAUACUGGCUAUCUUGAGUAUGGGAGAGGUGAGUGGAACUCCGAGUGUAGAGGUGAAAUUCGUAGAUAUUCGGAAGAACACCAGUGGCGAAGGCGACUCACUGGCCCAUUACUGACGCUGAGGCUCGAAAGCGUGGGGAGCAAACAGGAUUAGAUACCCCGGUAGUC
rnacentral:rRNA from 1 species